rnacentral:rRNA from 1 species
AGAACGAACGCUGGCGGCAUGCCUAAUACAUGCAAGUCGAACGAACUCUUCGGAGUUAGUGGCGCACGGGUGCGUAACGCGUGGGAAUCUGCCCUUGGGUUCGGAAUAACAGUUGGAAACGACUGCUAAUACCGGAUGAUGACGAAAGUCCAAAGAUUUAUCGCCCAGGGAUGAGCCCGCGUAGGAUUAGCUAGUUGGUGAGGUAAAGGCUCACCAAGGCGACGAUCCUUAGCUGGUCUGAGAGGAUGAUCAGCCACACUGGGACUGAGACACGGCCCAGACUCCUACGGGAGGCAGCAGUAGGGAAUAUUGGACAAUGGGCGAAAGCCUGAUCCAGCAAUGCCGCGUGAGUGAUGAAGGCCUUAGGUUGUAAAGCUCUUUACCCGAGAUGAUAAUGACAGUAUCGGAGAUAACGCCCGACUAACUCCGUCGCCAGCAGCCGC